GGCAACAACUAAUAAUUGUUCAGAAACUUAUAACAAAUUCUAUGCACCUAAUUUGCCAAAGAAAGAUGUGAAAAUAAUAUAAAUAUAUAAUUGUUAGCAUUAAGCUUCUAUAGAACUUGUGCAUGCAUGUAUAUAUUUAGCUGUUGUUUUAAGUCACAAGGAACAUGUAGCACCAAUUACAGGUAUAGAGAAAUGGGACCUACCUAAAAACAAAUAAUAUGGACACGCAUGACACUUCCAAAAAUGGGGAUAAACAAAGAAGAAGAAGAAGAAAAGGGGGGAGAGAGAGAGAGAGAAACCAUCCUGACUUCCACUCCAAUGACAACAUUUUAAUUCUAUCUUGUGGUUUCUCAUGGCAGGAGGUAAGAAUAUAAAAGAAGUAAAUAUAAAAACAAAGCUUCUAUUGAAUGCCUUCUAUAAUAUCAAGAGCAUAAAAACCACCUUCUGCAAUUUCUAGAUUAGCAUAUGCAAUGAAAACAUCCCUACAUAACUCCAGCGGGACUAUAAUUCUACACAUUAUUUCUCCAUCCAAUGACCUUUGUUCAGCAUUUUUAUUUUAGCUAAACCUUUUAAUUUUAGCAAUUUUACUCUAAAACUUUGACAUUGAUAACAAUUUUAUCCAACUCAAUGAAACUGGUUGAAAAAUAUUUUUAUUUCCUACUCAAAUAAAAUAAAUAUUAAUUUUUAGUUGUGUUGAGAAGGAGUCUUGGAGAAAAUAGUUUUUUAUUUCAGUAUAUGUUUGCCUUGUACACUCUUUCUAUUUAUAUACAAUAGUCUUGAAUAUAAAAGAAGUCUAAAUGUUCUAGAAAACUAAUAAAAGAAAAAGAUAACUAUAACAAGAAAAGAAGAAAUACAAUACAAUACAAUCCCUU
rnacentral:misc_RNA from 1 species